UGCUCCCUAUUGCUUGGGCAGUUGUUGAGGUUGAGAAUCAGUAUCCUGGACAUGGUUUCUUGAACUAGUGAAGAAUGAUCUUGAACUUGGAGAAGGGCAUCAACUAUCCAUCAUUAGUGAUAUGCAAAAGGGACUAGAAAUUGUUGUGGAUACUUUAUUGCCACUUGUUGAACAUAGAAAAUGUGCAAGACAUGUUCUUGCAAAUUGGUCAAAAAAUUGGAAA